rnacentral:misc_RNA from 1 species
GAUGAAGAACGUAGCGAAAUGCGAUAAGUAAUGUGAAUUGCAGAAUUCAGUGAAUCAUCGAAUCUUUGAACGCACAUUGCGCCCGCCAGUAUUCUGGCGGGCAUGCCUGUUCGAGCGUCAUUUCAACCAUCAAGCCCUGCUUGCGUUGGGGUCCUGCGGCUGCCCGCAGGCCCUGAAAACCAGUGGCGGGCUCGCUAGUCACACCGAGCGCAGUAAUACAUCUCGCUUUGGGCGUGCGGCGGGUUCUUGCCGUUAAACACCCCCUUUUUACCAAGGUUGACCUCGGAUCAGGUAGGAAUACCCGCUGAACUUAAGCAUAUCAAAUAAGCGGAGGA